rnacentral:tRNA from 1 species
GGAGAGGUGGCCGAGUGGUCGAAGGCGCGCCCCUGCUAAGGGCGUAUGUGGGAAACCGCAUCGAGGGUUCGAAUCCCUUCCUCUCCGCCA